AUACGGAGGGGGCUAGCGUUGUUCGGAAUUACUGGGCGUAAAGCGCGCGUAGGCGGUUGGUUAAGUUGGUCGUGAAAGCCCGGGGCUCAACCCCGGAUGUGCGAUCGAAACUGGCCGACUAGAGACCGAGAGAGGAUGGCGGAAUUCCCGGUGUAGAGGUGAAAUUCGUAGAGAUCGGGAGGAACACCCGUGGCGAAGGCGGCCUGCUGGGGCUCUUCUGACGCUGAGGCGCGAAAGCGUGGGUAGCAAACAGGAUUAGAUACCCCGGUAGUCC
rnacentral:rRNA from 1 species